UACGGAGGGUGCAAGCGUUAUCCGGAUUCACUGGGUUUAAAGGGUGCGUAGGCGGGCAGGUAAGUCAGUGGUGAAAUCUCCGAGCUUAACUCGGAAACUGCCGUUGAUACUAUUUGUCUUGAAUACUGUGGAGGUAAGCGGAAUAUGUCAUGUAGCGGUGAAAUGCUUAGAUAUGACAUAGAACACCAAUUGCGAAGGCAGCUUACUACACAAUUAUUGACGCUGAGGCACGAAAGCGUGGGGAGCGAACAGG
rnacentral:rRNA from 1 species